CAGCAGCCGCGGGAAUACGAAGGGGGCUAGCGUUGUUCGGAUUUACUGGGCGUAAAGCGCACGUAGGCGGAUCGAUCAGUCAGGGGUGAAAUCCCAGAGCUCAACUCUGGAACUGCCUUUGAUACUGUCGAUCUGGAGUAUGGAAGAGGUGAGUGGAAUUCCGAGUGUAGAGGUGAAAUUCGUAGAUAUUCGGAGGAACACCAGUGGCGAAGGCGGCUCACUGGUCCAUUACUGACGCUGAGGUGCGAAAGCGUGGGGAGCAAACAGGAUUAGAUACCCCCGUAGUCCCUGUCUCUUAUAA
rnacentral:rRNA from 1 species